GGGUUGUGAGGUUAAGCGACUAAGCGUACACGGUGGAUGCCCUGGCAGUCAGAGGCGAUGAAGGACGUGCUAAUCUGCGAUAAGCGUCGGUAAGGUGAUAUGAACCGUUAUAACCGGCGAUUUCCGAAUGGGGAAACCCAGUGUGUUUCGACACACUAUCAUUAACUGAAUCCAUAGGUUAAUGAGGCGAACCGGGGGAACUGAAACAUCUAAGUACCCCGAGGAAAAGAAAUCAACCGAGAUUCCCCCAGUAGCGGCGAGCGAACGGGGAGCAGCCCAGAGUCUGAAUCAGUGUGUGUGUUAGUGGAAGUGUCUGGAAAGGCGCGCGAUACAGGGUGACAGCCCCGUACACAAAAAUGCACAUGCUGUGAGCUCGAUGAGUAGGGCGGGACACGUGGUAUCCUGUCUGAAUAUGGGGGGACCAUCCUCCAAGGCUAAAUACUCCUGACUGACCGAUAGUGAACCAGUACCGUGAGGGAAAGGCGAAAAGAACCCCGGCGAGGGGAGUGAAAAAGAACCUGAAACCGUGUACGUACAAGCAGUGGGAGCCCUGAUUUAUCAGGGUGACUGCGUACCUUUUGUAUAAUGGGUCAGCGACUUAUAUUCUGUAGCAAGGUUAACCGAAUAGGGGAGCCGGAGGGAAACCGAGUCUUAACUGGGCGUUAAGUUGCAGGGUAUAGACCCGAAACCCGGUGAUCUAGCCAUGGGCAGGUUGAAGGUUGGGUAACACUAACUGGAGGACCGAACCGACUAAUGUUGAAAAAUUAGCGGAUGACUUGUGGCUGGGGGUGAAAGGCCAAUCAAACCGGGAGAUAGCUGGUUCUCCCCGAAAGCUAUUUAGGUAGCGCCUCGUGAAUUCAUCUCCGGGGGUAGAGCACUGUUUCGGCAAGGGGGUCAUCCCGACUUACCAACCCGAUGCAAACUGCGAAUACCGGAGAAUGUUAUCACGGGAGACACACGGCGGGUGCUAACGUCCGUCGUGAAGAGGGAAACAACCCAGACCGCCAGCUAAGGUCCCAAAGUCAUGGUUAAGUGGGAAACGAUGUGGGAAGGCCCAGACAGCCAGGAUGUUGGCUUAGAAGCAGCCAUCAUUUAAAGAAAGCGUAAUAGCUCACUGGUCGAGUCGGCCCGCGCGGAAGAUGUAACGGGGCUAAACCAUGCACCGAAGCUGCGGCAGCGACACUGUGUGUUGUUGGGUAGGGGAGCGUUCUGUAAGCCUGUGAAGGUGUGCUGUGAGGCAUGCUGGAGGUAUCAGAAGUGCGAAUGCUGACAUAAGUAACGAUAAAGCGGGUGAAAAGCCCGCUCGCCGGAAGACCAAGGGUUCCUGUCCAACGUUAAUCGGGGCAGGGUGAGUCGACCCCUAAGGCGAGGCCGAAAGGCGUAGUCGAUGGGAAACAGGUUAAUAUUCCUGUACUUGGUGUUACUGCGAAGGGGGGACGGAGAAGGCUAUGUUGGCCGGGCGACGGUUGUCCCGGUUUAAGCGUGUAGGCUGGUUUUCCAGGCAAAUCCGGAGAAUCAAGGCUGAGGCGUGAUGACGAGGCACUACGGUGCUGAAGCAACAAAUGCCCUGCUUCCAGGAAAAGCCUCUAAGCAUCAGGUAACAUCAAAUCGUACCCCAAACCGACACAGGUGGUCAGGUAGAGAAUACCAAGGCGCUUGAGAGAACUCGGGUGAAGGAACUAGGCAAAAUGGUGCCGUAACUUCGGGAGAAGGCACGCUGAUAUGUAGGUGAAGCGACUUGCUCGUGGAGCUGAAAUCAGUCGAAGAUACCAGCUGGCUGCAACUGUUUAUUAAAAACACAGCACUGUGCAAACACGAAAGUGGACGUAUACGGUGUGACGCCUGCCCGGUGCCGGAAGGUUAAUUGAUGGGGUCAGCGCAAGCGAAGCUCUUGAUCGAAGCCCCGGUAAACGGCGGCCGUAACUAUAACGGUCCUAAGGUAGCGAAAUUCCUUGUCGGGUAAGUUCCGACCUGCACGAAUGGCGUAAUGAUGGCCAGGCUGUCUCCACCCGAGACUCAGUGAAAUUGAACUCGCUGUGAAGAUGCAGUGUACCCGCGGCAAGACGGAAAGACCCCGUGAACCUUUACUAUAGCUUGACACUGAACACUGGUCCUUGAUGUGUAGGAUAGGUGGGAGGCUUUGAAGUGUGGACGCCAGUCUGCAUGGAGCCGUCCUUGAAAUACCACCCUUUAAUGGCUGGUGUUCUAACGUUGGCCCCUUACCGGGGUUGCGGACAGUGUCUGGUGGGUAGUUUGACUGGGGCGGUCUCCUCCUAAAGAGUAACGGAGGAGCACGAAGGUUGGCUAAUCCUGGUCGGACAUCAGGAGGUUAGUGCAAUGGCAUAAGCCAGCUUAACUGCGAGCGUGACGGCGCGAGCAGGUGCGAAAGCAGGUCAUAGUGAUCCGGUGGUUCUGAAUGGAAGGGCCAUCGCUCAACGGAUAAAAGGUACUCCGGGGAUAACAGGCUGAUACCGCCCAAGAGUUCAUAUCGACGGCGGUGUUUGGCACCUCGAUGUCGGCUCAUCACAUCCUGGGGCUGAAGUAGGUCCCAAGGGUAUGGCUGUUCGCCAUUUAAAGUGGUACGCGAGCUGGGUUUAGAACGUCGUGAGACAGUUCGGUCCCUAUCUGCCGUGGGCGCUGGAGAACUGAGGGGGGCUGCUCCUAGUACGAGAGGACCGGAGUGGACGCAUCACUGGUGUUCGGGUUGUCAUGCCAAUGGCACUGCCCGGUAGCUAAAUGCGGAAGAGAUAAGUGCUGAAAGCAUCUAAGCACGAAACUUGCCCCGAGAUGAGUUCUCCCUGAGACCUGGAGUCUCCUGAAGGAACGUUGAAGACGACGACGUUGAUAGGCCGGGUGUGUAAGCGCAGCGAUGCGUUGAGCUAACCGGUACUAAUGAACCGUGAGGCUUAACCUUACAAC
rnacentral:rRNA from 1 species